CUUUCUCUGCCAUUUCCCUGGAGUCUCUCAUCAACUUCCAAUCUUUCUCUUAAAGAUAAUUAGCUGUGGCUUUGCAUUCACAAGGCCACGUUCCACCUUGAAUGGGCUAUCAGGCACCAAGUGGAGAUAUACGCUAAUUGCACGCGCCACAUUGUGCACAUUAAAGAGGUCUAACUGCAGGGAAAGCUAACGACACAGCUGAAUCGCAUUAACCUUUCCUACUGUAGGUAAUGACCCAGAUGCAGCUACUGCGCCGUAAAGGAACAAUAAAUGCAUUCUAUAACAUCAUUGCAUUUUAUGCUACGGGGGACAACGAUUGUAAAACCAAGCGUCGACUAUCAAACAGAAGGAGGGGUAUUAAUGGAUGAUUGUCUUUGGACCUAUGCAUCAUCCACUAUUUAGAGGCAGAAUGCAUUUUAUCUUGGUGCAGACACACUGAACCAGUUGCACUUUUUGAAGAAGAUAAUUUUUUUUAUUAAUGGACAUACAUUUAUAGAAACUAAGUCUGACUGGCACUUGUGGUUUAUUUACCAAAAUAAAUGAUCACAAUAAACAAUGCCUUAUAGGA